rnacentral:rRNA from 1 species
UAGUAGCGGCGAGUGAGCGGCAAAAGCUCAAAUUUGAAAUCUGGCUCUUUCAGAGUCCGAGUUGUAAUUUGAAGAAGGUAUCUUUGGGUCUGGCUCUUGUCUAUGUUUCUUGGAACAGAACGUCACAGAGGGUGAGAAUCCCGUGCGAUGAGAUGAUCCAGGCCUAUGUAAAGUUCCUUCGAAGAGUCGAGUUGUUUGGGAAUGCAGCUCUAAGUGGGUGGUAAAUUCCAUCUAAAGCUAAAUAUUGGCGAGAGACCGAUAGCGAACAAGUACAGUGAUGGAAAGAUGAAAAGAACUUUGAAAAGAGAGUGAAAAAGUACGUGAAAUUGUUGAAAGGGAAGGGCUUGAGAUCAGACUUGGUAUUUUGUAUGUUACUUCUUCGGGGGUGGCCUCUACAGUUUAUCGGGCCAGCAUCAGUUUGGGCGGUAGGAGAAUUGCGUUGGAAUGUGGCACGGCUUCGGUUGUGUGUUAUAGCCUUCGUCGAUACUGCCAGCCUAGACUGAGGACUGCGGUUUAUACCUAGGAUGUUGGCAUAAUGAUCUUAAGUCGCCCGUCUUGACCNCNNGGACCA